rnacentral:rRNA from 1 species
CCUACGGGAGGCAGCAGUGGGGGAUAUUGCACAAUGGGGGAAACCCUGAUGCAGCGACGCCGCGUGGGUGAAGAAGUACUUUGGUAUGUUAAGCCCUAUUAGCAGGGAAGAAAGAAGACGGUACCUGACUAAGAAGCCUCGGCUAACUACGUGCCAGCAGCCGCGGUAAUACGUAGGGGGCGAGCGUUAUCCGGAUUCACUGGGUGUAAAGGGAGCGUAGACGGCCGUGCAAGCCAGGGGUGAAAGCCUGGGGCCCAACCCCGGGACUGCUGUUGGAACUGUGCGGCUGGAGUGCGGGAGGGGCAGGCGGAAUGCGUGGUGUAGCGGUGAAAUGCGUAGAUAUCAGGAGGAACACCGGCGGCGAAGGCAGCCUGCUGGACCGCGACUGACGUUGAGGCUCGAAAGCGUGGGGAGCGAACAGGAUUAGAUACCCUUGUAGUC